UACGUAGGUGGCAAGCGUUGUCCGGAAUUAUUGGGCGUAAAGCGCGCGCAGGCGGUCCUUUAAGUCUGAUGUGAAAGCCCACGGCUCAACCGUGGAGGGUCAUUGGAAACGGGGGGACUUGAGUGCAGAAGAGGAGAGUGGAAUUCCACGUGUAGCGGUGAAAUGCGUAGAGAUGUGGAGGAACACCAGUGGCGAAGGCGACUCUCUGGUCUGUAACUGACGCUGAGGCGCGAAAGCGUGGGGAGCAAACAGG
rnacentral:rRNA from 1 species